rnacentral:lncRNA from 1 species
AGCACAACACCCCUAAAUCAAACCCAUCCAAAAUUCCCAAAUCCCACAUCGUCUUUUCUUCCCAAUCCAACACUCUAGCGAUUUCCCAGGAGUUCCUCCGGUGGCAGCAGCAGCAGAAGCAGCAGCAGCAGCCCAUAUUUCAGGUUUAUUUCUUCUUCUAUUUCCUUACUUCCUGUAGAUUUCUCAGUUUCCUCCCUCUAUUUCUUCUUCGGUUUCCUUACUGUCACGCCCAUUUUACAUGUCAUUUCUUCUCUAAUCAGCCCCACGUGGUCCUAGUCUUGCUUUUAUGUUGUGAUACAAUCCUUAGUUUCAGAUAACUUUCCAAAAGAUUUCCUAGUUCAAAUGCUCACCCAAAAACACUUUUUAAACAAAAAUGAAAACAAAUUAUAAAAAAGACAACAUCCAUUAAAAUUAACACUGAAAAUAUUCCUUAUUUACCUCGCUAGAUUUACGAUCCCACAAAGUUGAUUUCUAUGUGAAUCCACCCAACAUACCAGUGAUCUUUGAUUCAAACAAUCUUUAGAUUAUUCUAACACUUUAAAAGUUAUAUGCCAGUUAUAUGCAUGCUCACAUCUGUUUGGGGAAGCAUUUUUUCUUCUUUUCAUUUUAUAUUCAAUUUUGGGGAAAGUGGGAAACCAUUUUUUUUUUAUUUCUCUAAAAAAACAAGUUUAUUUCUAUUCACCAUUUUCCAAAUUUCCAUAUAGUAGAUAUGAUUUUUAUGAAACACUGAUGUCAUUUGUUUUCAAAGAGGAAAUCUAAUAAACAUCAAUAAACUCUGAUGUCAUUUUUCUUUGAUUGUUUGUUUUUGCAUUUGUUUGGUUCUAUCUCAGAAAUGAUAUAUCAUAACUUUUGAGGAUUUUGAUCCUUAGUUAAUAGAGAUGGAUGAUGAUUAUCGGGAUAUGAUUUUAACUUAGUGUCGAUGUACUCGUCUUGGUCUAUCUGUAAGCAUGUAUGUUUUUUCCGACUCGCCAUCUUCCACUCUCCAUCAUUAAUUAAAUUAGCUCUUUUAGAGGAAGUUGGUGAUGAUGAUUUAUUUUUCGACCAGGCUGUUUUGGUUUAGUUUUUUUAACGAAACUUUAAAUAUCUUUUUCAGUUGAUUUAGAGUUGAUUAGUAUGCUUUGGUUUAGUUUGGUUUAAAUUUGCUUUGAUUUAGAGUUAAUGGUAGCCAAUAGAUAGAUUGACGGAUAGAUAAGAUCUGAUUUUAAAAUAAAAUGAGAUCUGACAUAUCAUUCCAGAUCUUUUCCUAGUUUGUUUGUAUUCAAAAUUUGUGUAAUGUUCUACGAUCGAUCUAUGCUUUAUGUUGUAAUUGUAUGUCUUUAUUUUAUUUAGAUGUAUUGGUUCGUAUUCGGUUUUUCGGUUUUUAUGGUGGUCGGGACUCAAAGUCAGAAUGAUCAUUCUGAUGAUCCUUCCGAUGAUCAGUAUUCUGAUGAUCCUUCCGAUGAUCAGUAUUCUGAUGAUCCUUCCGAUGAUCAGUAUUCUGAUGAUCCUUCCGAUGAUCAGUAUUCUGAU